GACGAACGCUGGCGGCGUGCUUAACACAUGCAAGUCGAACGGUAAGGCCCUUCGGGGUACUCGAGUGGCGAACGGGUGAGUAACACGUGGGUGAUCUGCCCUGCACUUCGGGAUAAGCCUGGGAAACUGGGUCUAAUACCGGAUAGGACCCUGGGAUGCAUGUCCUGGGGUGGAAAGCUUUUGCGGUGUGGGAUGGGCCCGCGGCCUAUCAGCGUGUUGGUGGGGUGAUGGCCUACCAAGGCGACGACGGGUAGCCGGCCUGAGAGGGUGACCGGCCACACUGGGCCUGUGAUACGGCCCAGACUCCUACGGGAGGCAGCAGUGGGGAAUAUUGCACAAUGGGCGCAAGCCUGAUGCAGCGACGCCGCGUGAGGGAUGACGGCCUUCGGGUUGUAAACCUCUUUCAGCACCGACGAAGCGCAAGUGACGGUAGGUGCAGAAGAAGGACCGGCCAACUACGUGCCAGCCGCCGCCGUAA
rnacentral:rRNA from 1 species